rnacentral:snRNA from 1 species
AUCGCUUCGGCCUUUUGGCUAAGAUCAAGUGUAGUAUCUGUUCUUAUCAGUUUAUCUGAUACGUCCUCUAUCCGAGGACAAUAUAUUAAAUGGAUUUUUGAGCAGGAGAUGGAAUAGGAGCUCCGUCCACUCCACGCAUCGACCUGGUUGCAGUACCUCCAGGAACGGUGCACUUCCG